UCUCCGCUGCCGAUUUUAUCAUCCCAAACACUGAAGAUUUCCCAUUUCUUUUUGUCGUUGGGAGGAUCCCUAAUUGCGAUACCGAAUCGGUCGGCUGCGAGUGCUAUAAGGAUCGGAGGGUUCGAGGGACGUUCGCCGUGGGGGACGGAACGCCCUACAUCCAAGACGGUGGGAGGAUCACUGGCUGCAUCAUCCGAUACAAAAUUGUGUAGAUCGGAUCACACAUGAGCAACACUACUCCCUAAGAAGAUUUCAGGUGGUGGUCAUCAUCUUAGUUUGAGAUCUGCCAAAAGAGAGGACCAUAACAAGAUUUAGGUCAAAGAAGGAUCUCUCCCAGUGUAAACUAAAUAUUGUCACCUCUGAGUUCUUGUCACAUACACGCCUUCACAGCUCCCUGUUCUGGCGACUUACCUAAAGGUAGGGGAAGACGGCCCUGUGCAACCUCAGCUAGAGGACAGGAAGUUAUUUUGCAGAGCUCAUCAGGUUCUUACAAAUAUUCUGCAUUCAGUGAAACAAUGUUGUCGAGCUGUCUUGUGUGAGCUUACCUGGAGACCCCGUCGAUGAACAUGAAGCUGGCUGGUAGGAGAAGGUCCCUUGCUGGUUGUUGCGAUCUUGCAUUCAGGCUGGGAUAUGGAUGUCUGUGUCCAAUGGACACAGAUUGCUGCUCUGACAGCUAACUACACUCAAUAAAAGUUUGCAUGCGAUGCAUUAUAGACGCUACGCAGACAUGGUGUACAGUACCAAAGUCUACCUUGACCAUGCAUGCAUUCCUACAGUGUCAAACAGCGUGCGGCGCCAUGAUAUCCUUGUAACAAGUGACCCAAAAUUGCGCUGUUUUGAACUAUUUAUGAUGGUGACGACAGAGACAUUGUGCAAUUAACUGAGCACUAGAACACCAUGAUUUGGGAAGGAGGGCUUCUUUAAUGGGCGUCGCCAGAUUUCCGGUGACCCGGAGAUCACGGGAUUGUGUGCCCAAGACCAGGAGACAGGGAGAUCGCUGUUCGAGGCUGCCCUCAGUUACCUCUCACUCACUCUCCCAUCAACACUAUUUAUAGGAAGACAUGAGGAAGAAAGAUAGAAACGGAUAGGAAGCUGAUAUCGUCUUUUCUUUCUUUCUGAUAAGCUUCAGUUUGAGAGAUAUGGUCAUACUACUGCAGCAGUAAUAGGCGACAUGUGGGCGGUGAGUUGGCUUGGAAGUAAAAUGGAAAUGGUGGCCAUCUACUGCUUCAUUGUCUCGAGGUGACAGUGUUUAAAAUAUUCUGCGGAAUCCACUGUCUCGGUUUUGAAGAAGACGACUCGUGCGGGCAUGAGGGAGUGGUUAUUAUUUGAAUGACGGUAUAGUAAACGUGACACGUAUUUCAUCAUGUCCUCCUGCUUUGUACGAAAUUCCCAACACCUUUUCUCGUUUCCGAAAGCAUACAUAGGAACAACGAUGAAAACAAAGCCCACCUGUACACCAACCCCACCCCUUGGAAUCAAUAAACCCCAUUAAUUCCAAGGACAUUAUUCGUGCUUAUUUCUGGCAACCUGUUGGCAUUAAUUUGCUUCCCAAGUAGUCACGACUUACGUACCCGUAAAAGCCCCCCCCCCAUCCACCCGUCAUUCUUCAGUCUCCUCUGAGCUCGUCUCAGACAAGGGAAAGUGAGCGGGUGCAGGCAAUGGCGUCGCUCCGCCGCCUUCCCCUCCUCCUCCUCCUCCUCCUCCUCCUUGAACUCGGGCCAUUGGCUGCGGCAGCGGAGGACGGGUCGGAUGUCGAGGCCCUCCUCUCCCUCAAAGCCGACUUCUCCGACGCCACCUCCGCCGUCCUAUCCGCCUGGAACUCUUCCGCUGAUGAUGAUCACUGCUCGUGGCCGGGCGUCUCCUGCGACCCCCUCCAGGGCUUCGUUGUCUCCCUUGACCUCACCGGUCUCAACCUCUCCGGCACGUUGUCCCCCGCGGUUGGCCGCCUCCGUCACCUCCUCAACCUCUCCGCCGCCUCCAACUCGCUCUCCGGCCCGAUCCCCGCCGAGCUCUCCCGCCUGUCCGACCUCCGCCACCUCAACCUCUCCAACAACCUCUUCAACGGUUCCUUCCCCUCCGCCCUCGCCCGCCUCAAGAAUCUCCUCGUUCUCGACCUCUACAACAACAACCUCACCGGCCCCCUCCCCACCGAGGUCGCCGAGCUCCCCGAGCUCCGCCACCUCCACCUCGGCGGCAACUUCUUCACCGGUGUCAUCCCCCCUGAGUUCGGCCGCUGGGAGUUCCUCGAGUACCUUGCUGUCUCCGGCAAUGAGCUCGGCGGCCCGAUACCGCCGGAGCUGGGAAAACUCACCACCCUCCGUCAACUCUACCUCGGCUACUUCAACAGCUUCGAGGGCAGGAUCCCACCGGAGAUCGGCGGCCUCGCGGCGCUUGUCCGCCUCGACAUGGCCAACUGCGGCCUCUCGGGCGAGAUUCCUCCCGAACUUGGCAACCUCCAGAACCUCGAUACGAUCUUCCUCCAGGUGAACGGCCUCACCGGUGACCUGCCGCCGGAGAUGGGCCGCCUCCGCAACCUCAAGUCCAUGGAUCUCUCCAACAACGCCCUCGCCGGCGAGAUUCCCGCCACAUUCGCCGACCUCCAGAACCUGACCCUUCUCAACCUCUUCCGCAACAAGCUUCACGGAUCGAUCCCAGAGUUCAUCGCCGACCUGCCGACGUUGGAGGUACUCCAGCUCUGGGAGAACAACUUCACCGGCGGUAUUCCGCGGCGACUAGGCCAGAGUGGCCAGCUAGAGCUCCUCGACCUUUCGUCGAACAAGCUCACCGGUAACCUCCCCCCGGACCUCUGCUCCGGCAACAGGCUUCAAACCCUCAUCGUCCUCGGGAACUUCCUCUUCGGCCCCAUACCGGAUACACUCGGCCGGUGCGAAUCCCUCAGCCGCAUCCGAAUGGGUGAGAACUACCUCAACGGAUCGAUCCCCGACGGUCUGCUCAGCUUGCCCAGGCUCUCCCAGAUCGAACUCCAGGACAAUCUGCUCACAGGCGGGUUUCCAGACACCGGCGCCGCCCUCAUCUCGCCGGACCUCGGCCAGAUUAGCCUCUCCAACAACCGGCUCUCGGGGCCGCUUCCACCGUCUGUCGGCAACUUCUCCGGCGUCCAGAAGCUUCUCUUGAACCAAAACCAGUUCUCCGGCCGCAUCCCGCCGGAGAUCGGGAGGCUGCAGCAGCUCUCUAAGGUGGAUUUCAGCGGGAAUCAGUUCUCCGGGCUGAUAUCGCCGGAGAUUAGCCAGUGCAAGCUUCUAACCUUUGUGGACCUCAGCCGGAAUGAGCUAUCUGGCGAGAUCCCAUCGGAGAUAACCGGGAUGAGGAUAUUGAACUACCUGAACUUAUCCCGGAACCAGCUCGAGGGGAACAUCCCGUCGUCCAUCGCCACGAUGCAGAGCCUCACGGCCAUUGAUUUCUCGUACAAUAACCUCUCCGGCCUCGUCCCUGGCACCGGCCAGUUCAGUUACUUCAAUGCGAGCUCCUUCGUCGGCAAUCCCGACCUCUGCGGCCCAUAUCUCGGCCCUUGCAGCUCUGCGAUUCAAGGCGCUGGCUCCACUCACACAAGGGGGCCGCUCUCGGCCUCCUUCAAGCUGCUGCUAGUCACCGGUCUCCUCAUCUGUUCCAUUGCCUUCGCCGUGGCCGCCAUCAUCAAAGCGCGGUCUCUGAAGAAGGCCAGCGAGGCCCGAGCGUGGAAGCUCACGGCUUUCCAACGCCUCGAGUUCACCUGCGACGACGUCUUGGAUUGCCUAAAGGAGGAGAACAUCAUCGGGAAAGGCGGGGCUGGCGUCGUGUACAAGGGUGUCAUGCCCAACGGUGAACAGGUGGCGGUGAAGCGGCUCCCAGCGGCGAUGAGCUGGGGCUCGUCGCGUGACCAUGGAUUCUCAGCCGAGAUACAGACUCUCGGGAGGAUCCGGCAUCGCCACAUCGUCAGACUACUGGGUUUCUGCUCGAACCACGAGACCAAUCUCCUGGUCUACGAGUACAUGCCCAAUGGGAGCCUCGGCGAGGUUCUUCACGGGAAGAAGGGCGGCCAUUUGCUCUGGCACACCCGUUACAAGAUUGCUGUGGAGGCGGCGAAGGGCCUCUGCUAUCUUCACCACGACUGCUCGCCGCUCAUCCUGCACCGGGACGUGAAGUCCAACAACAUCCUGCUCGAUUCGGACUUCGAAGCCCAUGUUGCAGAUUUUGGUCUCGCCAAGUUCUUGCAGGACUCCGGUACCUCGGAGUGCAUGUCCGCCAUAGCCGGUUCCUAUGGAUACAUUGCUCCAGAAUAUGCAUACACGCUAAAGGUGGACGAGAAGAGCGACGUCUACAGCUUCGGGGUGGUGCUUCUGGAGCUGGUGACCGGCAGGAAGCCGGUGGGCGAGUUCGGCGACGGCGUCGACAUCGUGCAAUGGGUGAGAAGGAUGACGGACUCGAGCAAGGAGGGCGUGCUGAAGAUUCUGGAUCACAGGCUCCCCACAGUGCCUCUGGACGAAGUCAUGCACGUCUUCUACGUCGCCAUGCUGUGCGUCGAGGAACAGAGCGUGGGGCGCCCAACGAUGAGGGAGGUCGUGCAGAUACUCACGGAUCUACCGAGGCCUGCGACGACACAGGCAGAUGACUGUGAGGCGCCCAUCAGGGAAGCACAGAGCUCAUCAUCAUCACCACCACCAGAUCUCCUCAGCAUCUGAAACUUUUGCUCGUUGUUUUGGGUGCAGUGGCACCAUCUUCUUUGUACAUCCUUCAAAUGGUGGUCAUGGAUAUCAUCGAGAACAAGGUGCUAAAUAUAUCAUCAAAGCUUGGAAGGGCAAGCAAUGGUAGACUGUGAGUGACUACUUCGAUACAAUUGUUGCCGUGUAUGAAUGUUUCGGUUGCGCUCUCCCUGGUGAGGACGGGGAGCUGCGAUAUGACGAGUCAGAACUCGAAAGCUGACGUGGCCGAUGAUGAGUAGAUUCCUUGUCGGGCGGGUCCCAGUGCGGAGUUAAGAUCGGAAUUAGCUUUCGAAUGCGCGUUGACGCAAGUCGCGUCCGUCUGUGUCAACUCUCUGUCUGUAUGCUUGUCAAUACUGAUCGAGA